CAGCAGCCACGGGAAUACAGAGGGUGCGAGCGUUAAUCGGAUUUACUGGGCGUAAAGCGUGCGUAGGCGGCUUCUUAAGUCGGAUGUGAAAUCCCUGAGCUUAACUUAGGAAUUGCAUUCGAUACUGGGAAGCUAGAGUAUGGGAGAGGAUGGUAGAAUUCCAGGUGUAGCGGUGAAAUGCGUAGAGAUCUGGAGGAAUACCGAUGGCGAAGGCAGCCAUCUGGCCUAAUACUGACGCUGAGGUACGAAAGCAUGGGGAGCAAACAGGAUUAGAGACCCCCGUAGUCCCUGUCUCUUAUAA
rnacentral:rRNA from 1 species